rnacentral:rRNA from 1 species
AUUGAACGCUGGCGGCAGGCCUAACACAUGCAAGUCGAUCGAGCGGCGGACGGGUGAGUAAUGUAUGGGGAUCUGCCUGAUAGAGGGGGAUAACUACUGGAAACGGUAGCUAAUACCGCAUACUAUCGGAUGUGCCCAUAUGGGAUUAGCUGGUUGGUGGGGUAACGGCGCACCUAGGCGACGAUCGCUAGCUGGUCUGAGAGGAUGAUCAGCCACACUGGGACUGAGACAAGGCCCAGACUCCUACGGGAGGCAGCAGUGGGGAAUAUUGCACAAUGGGCGCAAGCCUGAUGCAGCCAUGCAGCGUGUAUGAAGAAGGCCUGAGGGUUGUAAAGUACUUUCAGCGGGGAGGCGUUACCCGCAGAAGAAGCACCGGCUAACUCCGUGCCAGCAGCCGCGGUAAUAC